GAGGGUAUAGCUUGCUGGCAGAGCUCAUGUCUAGCAUGCAUGAGGUCCUGGGUUCAGUCCCCAGUACGUUCA
rnacentral:tRNA from 1 species